ensembl:lncRNA
CAAAUGUCCAGUAGGUGGGAGGAAAUGUAGGAAGUGCAAGAUGUUUCUAGCUGGGAAAGUGCGGGCAACUGACUACUGCCAAAAGAAAUUUUUGCCCGUCAUUAAUGAAUAUGCUAAUGUGGCAAUAGGCACCAAUCCAGUGCCAUCUAGUCUCAGAGUAGUCUGUUAUGUUCUGGGAAGGUUAUUAAUAAAAGACUGCUUUUGAGUUGCAUUCAGAGGCAAGGAACAAAAGUGUCCAGAGGUGUGGUGCAUAAAGACACUUGGGAAGAUUUGCCCGUAUGGUGCUUACUGCACUAGAAUGGUCCAAGUACCUCCUAAAUCAGCUGUGUAGAGACGUUUGGGCAAGCACCUAUAAACAGAAAAGGAAACAGCCUGUGUGACAUGUUCUCUGGUGUAUGAGGGACAAAGAAGGUAUGGGCAGGGCUAUCUCUUAUGUCACCUGUACAUUUUCCCCAGCCAAGAACACAUCUGGCACAGCAUCGUAUUUCUACCAUUGUCCAAAUCCAGACAUUUCAGAGUAUGUGAAGGAUAUCUUGUGGUUUGAAGACUGUCAAGAGAGCAGCAGGAGAAGGGCUGCUCUACAAAAUAAGGCAAACUGGGAGCCAGGAGUAGAGACUGUACUGGUAGGGGUAGUGUCUUCACCAUCAGGAGUCAGAACCACAGUCACCAAAGAAGGCAGGUGAACUGGCGCCAGUGUCAAGUCACCGUGUCCUACAGACAGCCCAGUGCAGAAGUGCAAAGUGAUGAGUUAGGUCUGAGGUCAGUCCAGGAAGUCCAGUCAACAAGUGAAUACAGAACUAGAGAGUUGGGUACAGGCAUGCCUGCAACAUAGCUCAGGCAAGGAUUAGGAGCCAAGGCUCCUGGGCCCAUCAGUGGAGGCCCAAGUGAGGAUGGUCAAGGCAGCUAAGACCUCCUGGGACCCUCAAUGCUCUUGCAGAAAACUAUAGAAAAAGGUUUAAAGGAAAUCUUAUAUUAUAAAAUAUAUAUAUUUUAUAAUUUUAAAGGAAAUCCUGAGUUCUAAGGUACUUGGAGAUGAACUUCGUUAGUUAUGGCAGUUACUUUGGCAUUUUAAUGUUAGAUGUUUAUAGUGAAGACACUUCUGAGCUAGUCACUGCAAGUCUCUUUCUGUAGUUGCUAAGUGAAUAUGCACUUUAAAGCAGUCAAAUAGCUCAAGCUAAUGGUUAAAUGCGUCAGAAGCAUUAUACCUACCGUACAAGUGCCUGUUUCCCUCUAUUGAUUGUAAGCAGCUGAAGGUGAAGAUGUCUAAAGCUGAAUGAAUUGAACCCCAUGCAUGAGUCUCAGCUGAGGGUUUUUAUAACACCCAGAUCCAUUCUGGCAUCUUGGUUGUGAUUUUUGUGAUGCUGGGUCCUAAUAAAACCAUUAUCCCAGGACUAGUUACCUGAGUGCAGUGGUUAUUUUAAACAGCCACAGCCUAUACUAAAUGUAAUUACGUUUAUCUUUAAUUUGCAUUGAGGAAGAGAUGCACUUAGCUUGUCUCCUACCUUUGCACAGAAUAGCAUUACUGUAACAAUUGUUUAAAUUGCUUACGUUUCUGGAAAAGGACUUUUUUGUCAAUUUUAUGUCGAAAAA